rnacentral:rRNA from 1 species
UUAACCUCCUUUACACGAACCGUGUUAUUACUGAGGAUCGAAACUUUUUCCGGAAGCAUUUGGUUGUCAGGGUCCGUAGGCCGCCUUAUAAUUCAGUGGUUAAAGUUUUUGUCUUAACCAAAAAAUUGCCAUUGAUACUGUAGGGCUUUAAUAUUUGUGAAGUAACUAGAAUAUGUAGUGUAGCGGUGAAAUGCUUAGAUAUUACAUGGAAUACCAAUUGCGAAGGCAGGUUACUAACAAAUGAUUGACGCUGAUGGACGAAAGCGUGGGUAGCGAACAGGAUUAGAUACCCGGGUAGUC